rnacentral:rRNA from 1 species
AGUCGAACGAAAUAAGGACUAUAGCAAUAUAGUUUUUAUUUAGUGGCGAACGGGUGCGUAACACGUGAGUAAUCUGCCGGAAAGUGGGGGAUAGCUCGCCGAAAGGCGAAUUAAUACCGCAUUGUGGCUAGGGAUGGCAUCAUUCUAUAGCCAAAGUCGUAAGGCGCUUUCUGAUGAGCUCGCGGCCUAUCAGCUCGUUGGUAGGGUAACAGCCUACCAAGGCUAUGACGGGUAGCUGGUCUGAGAGGACGACCAGUCACACUGGAACUGAGAUACGGUCCAGACACCUACGGGUGGCAGCAGUCGAGAAUUUUUCACAAUGGGGGAAACCCUGAUGGAGCGACGCCGCGUGGAGGACGAAGGGCUUUGUGCUUGUAAACUCCUGUCAAGCGGGAACAAGAAAGUGAUAGUACCGCUAGAGGAAGAGACGGCUAACUCUGUGCCAGCAGCCGCGGUAAUACAGAGGUCUCAAGCGUUGUUCGGAUUUAUUGGGCGUAAAGGGUGCGUAGGCGGUAUAGUAAGUCAAGUGUGAA